GUUUGAUCAUGGCUCAGGAUGAACGCUGGCGGCGUGCCUAAUACAUGCAAGUCGAACGGAGAGCUAGCAAUAGUUCUUAGUGGCGAACGGGUGAGUAACGCGUUGGUGACCUGCCCCGAAGCGGGGGAUAACAGUUCGAAAGGACUGCUAAUACCCCAUGAGAUCCGAGAGGUUAGAGGCUUUUGGAUGAAAGGAGUAAUCCGCUUUGGGAGGGGCCUGCGUCCCAUCAGCUAGUUGGUAGGGUAAAGGCCUACCAAGGCAACGACGGGUAGGGGGCCUGAGAGGGUGAUCCCCCACACUGGCACUGAAACACGGGCCAGACACCUACGGGUGGCAGCAGUAGGGAAUAUUGCACAAUGGGCGAAAGCCUGAUGCAGCAACGCCGCGUGCGCGAUGAAGGCCUUCGGGUUGUAAAGCGCUUUUCGGGGAGAUGAGGAAGGACAGUAUCCCCGGAAUAAGGCUCGGCUAACUACGUGCCAGCAGCCGCGGUAAAACGUAGGAGCCUAGCGUUAUCCGAAUUCACUGGGCGUAAAGCGCGUGCAGGCGGCUCGGCAAGUUGGAUGUGAAAUCUCCUGGCUCAACUGGGAGAGGACGUUCAAAACUGCAGGGCUAGAGGGCAGCAGAGGGAGGUGGAAUUCCCGGUGUAGUGGUGAAAUGCGUAGAUAUCGGGAGGAACACCAGAGGCGAAGGCGGCCUCCUGGGCUGCACCUGACGCUCAGACGCGAAAGCUAGGGGAGCAAACGGGAUUAGAAACCCCGGUAGUCCUAGCCGUAAACGAUGCAGACUUGGUGCAGGUGGGGUAAAAGCCAUCUGUGCCGAAGCCAACGCGAUAAGUCUACCGCCUGGGGACUACGGCCGCAAGAGUGAAACUCAAAGGAAU
rnacentral:rRNA from 1 species